AAAAAUUUAAGCUUUUUGAGAUAAGAAACAGUGGUGUUGGAAUCUAUGAGAUUGUAACUGAGACUGUAACACUUUUUCACAGAGAAGCCAUGAAACUAGAUUUGGGAAGAGGAGUCGUCGUCGGAAGCCAGCUCACCACCGUCGAAGCGUGCCGACCAUAUCCAACAACAUCCACUAUUUUCUAUGCGACUAUGUUUUCUAUGUGACACAGUUUUCUCUACUUCUA
rnacentral:lncRNA from 1 species